UACGUAGGGGGCAAGCGUUGUCCGGAAUCAUUGGGCGUAAAGCGCGCGUAGGCGGCCCGGUAAGUCCGCUCUGAAAGUCCAGGGCUCAACCCUGGAAAGCGGGUGGAUACUGCCGGGCUAGAAUCCGGAAGAGGCGAGUGGAAUUCCUGGUGUAGCGGUGGAAUGCGCAGAUAUCGGGAAGAACACCCGUGGCGAAGGCGGUUCUCUGGGACGGUACUGACGCUGAGACGCGAAAGCGUGGGGAGCGAACAGG
rnacentral:rRNA from 1 species